UUGGUGCUCAAAACUUCUCUUCGCCUAGGUACUACGGGGAAGAAAGCUGUUAGCUCUGUUUGUCCCUAGCCGAGCUUGCAGCACAGAAUCGACAGGAUGCGUGGGCGGCAAGACGAAAAAGCCGCGUCCGAGGUUGUGGACGCUUCCAGACACAAGACUGAUUUAUGCAGCAGGCGCUCCUUGGCUGCAUCUACAAUGCUAGCUCAAGGCGAGAAUGCUUUGGGCACGUUGCCAUCUGCGUCCACAGUCAUCCUGGCACAACUGCCAUGAGAAAAACUAUUUCUCUUUUCCCAUGUAUUCAGAUAUGAGUUCCAGAGAUAAAACUGCCUCCAAGUCAGGUAAACCAUUGUAUUAAAGAACAUUAUAAGGAGGAGAAGGAGAAGGAAAAACAUUUAUUAAAAAAAAUAAAGGAAAAGCGGGUGUCUUUCUGCUUGUGUGGGAGGCGCCCUUAGUCCAGGACUCCUGUGGCUCUUGCUGUCUCCCGGGCUCACCACACCUGGUGUAACAAGAAUUGUGUUCUCAUCUGAAUUACUGAAGUAUACUUUUUCCUUUGUCAUAGGUGGAAAAGGAAAGUAUCAGCAACGUUCUCACACCUACACUGUCCUUAUUGGUAUGUAGUGUGACUAAAUUCUGCUUCUGCAUUAGUUGUGUUGAUAGCAUGCUUGUUCCAAAUUCUUAUUUGUUCCUUUUGCAAAUUUUCAUUUUGUUCACAGAACUUUCCAAAAGGGGAACGUAUCCAAUAAAAUAAAGCACUAAUUUACUUUCA
rnacentral:lncRNA from 1 species